ensembl:lncRNA
UGUCUACUUAUGUUCCCACUGCUCAAACUGUGUCUGUGUUACGGGGUCGAUGAGACAAGAGUCGUUUAGAUCCAUUUGCGGGCUUUAUUGGUAACAAGGUCAAACACAGGCAUGGCACGGGCAAAACGCAAGAAUAGUCCUUGGGACAAUCAUGAAGCCCUUGGCAUUGCUGACACUUCUGCUCAUCACGAGUGGUUCUGCAGUGGGGCAAAUGUUGAAAUCUAAUGUGACUGGCUAUGUUGGAAAGGAUGUACUUUUAUCAUUUAACUGUUCUAAAGACCCUAAAGAGCUGAUAUGGCAGAAAGGUGAGAGAUUAGUGAAUGUUCAUUCACAAGACAAAAUCACCAUAGAUGAUUCCUACGUGGACAGGACACAACUCUUCAUAAACAUGGAGAAGAGAAACUGUUCCCUACUGCUCCGCAACAUCUCUACAGCAGAUGCAGGACUGUACACCUGUUAUGCCAUAGACACUGUUGAUAACAAGGUCUGGACAAAGGAGUCUACAGAAGUUAAUUUAACAGUGGAGAUCAACCCUGAAAAAAGCGUCCAAACUGAAGAAGAAUCUGACACAGCUGUCCCUGUUAGUGUUCCCAUAGCGGUAGUACUGCUUAUACUGGCUGUUAUCCUGCUUCUAAUCCUACUGAUCAGAAGACAACAUCGGACACGCACGGUAAACAGUCAAUAUAAUAUGUUUCAAUGUUGUUGUUUUUUUUAUUAUCAUUUACUAAAUGACACAAAACAGCGUAGCAAAAAUGUCCACAAACAAUAA